GUGAUGUGGGUUAAAGGGUUAACACUCUCUAAGUGUCUUUAGUGAUGUGGGGUAGGGUUAGUUCUCAAGUGUCAGUUCUUUAAGUGUUCAUUAGUUAAUUGUCAAUUCCCUGUAUCACCAGGAAAAACAUCUCCUGGCAUUAGGGUAUCAGCAGGCCUCCCCUCCACUGCCCCAAAGCCCUCCUCUUGCUGGAGCAACAACCGGUACCAUUGGAGAGGCAAAGAAACCUCCCCAAACUACCCAGUGAGUGAGGGCUGUCAGGACCCUGCAGUGCCAUGUGCUGGGGAUGCUCAGGGACUGGACGGGAUCUGAAGGGACCUGGGUAGAAAAACAGCUCUGAGACAACUUCAAGGAGGCGAUGCGCUUCCCUGCCCUGCAGACAUGGAGUCAGCUGGGACGCAUCCCAGCAGGCCAAGGGAGUGCCUUCAGCAGGCAAGCUACCUGGGAUAGACUCUUCCUACCCAUGCUGAGUCACACUCUAGUUUUGGAUUGGCCGUGUGUCAGGCUUCUGGUGUGAGCCCAAGCCAGGAGUGCAUGCUGUCUGCAGGCCUGUAUCCCACACUGGGAUAAAUUCCCUGAGGCCAGGGCAGCUCCAUCCCAACCCCAGGAAAACCAGCUCUGACCGUUGGGCUGGAUCCGAGUACGCAGCUCCUGGAAGCCCUAAUGGCCUUUGUUCUCAGUGUGACCUUCUUGCCGGCACUCCCACAGCUCAAGGCGCUCACAGGGUGGCCAGAGUGUUUGGAAAUGUGCCCAAGCCAUUGUGUCUGUAGCUGGUCAGGUCCAAAGUGUACAGCCAAAGUGCAUUGUGGUGUGAGGAGAGUGGGAGGAAUAAGACAUUGUCCUGAGCCCCUAAAUGCCCCUCAUUUGUCAGGAAAAAGCCUGCUCCAUGGGGCUCUACACAGAGCAUAUUUUUGGCAGGUUCCGAUGUUUUCUCACACAGGAAAUCCUUGCGCUUCUCAUAUGGUACUUGAAAUGAGAGGCUGUGGCCUGGAGGGCAUGGCAGAAAUUCGGAAUUGAAAUGGGAGCGUUGACAGAAACCAAAACACAACCUAUGUCAUUAAUUAGGAUAUUUUGCUUUGGAAGUGAGUCUGUUGGAAAAUUACUGCCCGCGUGCAGUGACUGUGGGCCUGGGGCGGUGCAGGAGCAGUAUAAAAGUGGGUCCUGCACCUCACUCUCGCAUCCACUCCUCUCGCCUCCCUCUUCUUGGAACUGAGGUGCAGCUCCAGCCACAAGACAUGUCCUGCUACAACCCGUGUCUGCCCUGCCAGCCCUGCGGCCCAACCCCGCUGGCCAACAGCUGCAAUGAGCCCUGUGUCCAGCAGUGCCAGGACUCCAGAGUUGUCAUUGAGCCCCCAGCUGUGGUGGUGACCCUGCCUGGCCCAAUCCUCACCUCCUUCCCGCAGAACACCGCCGUGGGCUCCUCCACCUCCGCUGCUGUUGGCAGCAUCCUCAGCUCUCAGGGAGUGCCCAUCAACUCCGGGGGCUUUGGUCUCUCUGGCUUGGGCAGCGGCAUCUGCGGCACGAGGAGGUGUUUCCCCUGCUAAAGCUGCUGGUGAUGGCCCUGGGGAAGGAAACCAGAGACCCACCAGAUAGGGCUGGACUGAAGACAAAGCAUCAGGUUGUUCCUUUGAGAAGGGCUGAGCAACCCCAGCAGCUCUUGCAAAAGGACAGGGCCAGCCUGCCCUCUCAGAAAGCACAGCCCGUGCUGCCUUAUCCCUCUUCCUGUGUCUCCUCUUCCUUUUCAUGUCCUUGUUCCUGUGCUCUCCUGGGCUGUGAGCCCAAUAAAACCAGCCUAGGGAGGAACUGCUGGCCCUGCUUCCUCUGUGGGAAGGAUCUGCACCACAGCCAUGGGUCACAUACUCCUGUCUGCCUCUGGUGUUCUGAGUACUCAGAGCCACCUUGCUUUCUUUUUGACUCAUUAAAGUUCUUCUGCAUUCCA